rnacentral:rRNA from 1 species
GACGGGGCCCGGCGACAAGCGGUGGAGUAUGUGGUUAAUUCGAUGCAACGCGAAGAACUUACCUGGUCUUGACAUCCCGGAGACCCUUAGGAAACUAAGGGGGUGGCUUCCAUCUGGAAGAAUCUGGAGACAGGUGCUGCAUGGCUGUCGUCAGCUCGUGUCGUGAGAUGUUGGGUUAAGUCCCGCAACGAGCGCAACCCUUGCCUUUAGUUGCCAGCAGUUCGGCUGGGCACUCUAAAGGGACUGCCGGUGUUAAACCGGAGGAAGGUGGGGAUGACGUCAAGUCCUCAUGGCCUUUAUGACCAGGGCUACACACGUACUACAAUGGCCGAUACAAAGGGCAGCGACACUGCGAGGUGAAGCCAAUCCCGUAAAAUCGGUCUCAGUCCGGAUUGGAGUCUGCAACUCGACUCCAUGAAGUUGGAAUCGCUAGUAAUCGUGGAUCAGCAUGCCACGGUGAAUACGUUCCCGGGCCUU